AACUCAAUGUAUACAAUAUCAUAAAACUCCAAUCAACAUAACUUAACAUUGAAACUCAACAUUCACAACAUUUUAGAAUAAGAUAAAAUUCAUGAGGCGCGAAUGAAAAUAAUAGAACAUAGCUCAUAUAAUCAGGGAAUAUUUCAGUUUAGGUCACCAUACCUUUGCCUUUGCUUUCCUUUCCUGCUCAAGUCUUCUUUCUACACUCGCUUCCUCCCCUUUUGGACACAAUU
rnacentral:lncRNA from 1 species